CAGAAAAAAGGUGAGGAAACUUCUGCAGAAUGAUGAAGCUUAGAAGGCAUGCAGAGACUUUGGUGAUAAGAUUAAGACCAACUCAGCGCCUUUCUUUGAUUCACAAUAACAAUGAAUAAGUUAUCGAUCAUUCCAAUGGACGAGUGGUUUCUGUGCGCAUGCAACACACCGUCGCAGUAGCGUUGUGCCUCUCCUUCGAUGCUUGAAGUCUGAUUCAACAGUAGCGUUGCAACGCUCUUGAUAGAAUUACAACGAUGUGAUUGUUUUACAAAUAGAGAGGAGUUUUGAUUAUAACAGAAAGUGUGAAGAAAAAUACAGAAGUGAGAACGAUUUGGACGAUUUCUUGGCUAUUAUUUACCAGAUUCCUCAUUCUUCCCUCUUCAUUCAUUGUUCUUUUCAUAUUCCUAUGCAAGGCUAGGUAAAUUCUUUCUUGGGUUUAGUUGUAUGUUCGGUUUCUUGAAGAUUUCUAGUUAAUUGUACUGGAUUAUGUAAACUUAUUGGGUUUGAUUUGGAUUAUAUUUAAUAGAAUUUUAUUGAAUUGAUAUGAUAAA